rnacentral:rRNA from 1 species
CUAUUAAAUAAGUAAGAGUUUUUGGUGGAUGCCUUGGGUCUGGAAGUCGAUGAAGGACGCGAUUACCUGCGAUAAGCCUCGUGGAGCUGGAAAUAAGCUAUGAAACGGGGAUUUCCGAAUGGGGAAACCUAACUAGAUUAAUCUCUAGUUGCAUUCUAAUGAAUACAUAGUUAGAAUUGUGAGACACGUUGAGAACUGAAACAUCUUAGUACCAACAGGAAAAGAAAAUAAAUAAUGAUUCCCUGAGUAGCGGCGAGCGAACGGGGAAGAGCCUAAACCAACACUUGUUGUUGGGGUUGUGGGACAACUUACAUAGAGUUACAAAAUUCAUAGAUAGCAGAAGGAGUUGGAAUGCUCCACAAUAUAGGGUGAAAGUCCCGUACGCGAAAUUUAUGAAUCUCUUAGUUGAAUCCCGAGUAGGGCGGGGCACGUGAAACCCUGUCUGAAUCUGCCGGGACCAUCCGGUAAGGCUAAAUACUAACCAGACACCGAUAGUGAACUAG